rnacentral:rRNA from 1 species
UACGUAGGGUGCAAGCGUUGUCCGGAAUUAUUGGGCGUAAAGAGCGUGUAGGCGGCCUGGUAGGUCAGUUGUGAAAACUCGAGGCUCAACCUCGAGACGCCGAUUGAAACCAUCAGGCUAGAGUCCGGAAGAGGAGAGUGGAAUUCCCGGUGUAGCGGUGAAAUGCGCAGAUAUCGGGAAGAACACCCGUGGCUAAGGCGGCUCUCCAGUACGGUACUGACGCUGAGACGCGAAAGCGUGGGGAGCGAACAGG